UACGAAGGGGGGCUAGCGUUGCUCGGAAUUACUGGGCGUAAAGCGCACGUAGGCGGAUUGUUAAGUCGGGGGUGAAAUCCUGGAGCUCAACUCCAGAACUGCCUUCGAUACUGGCGAUCUCGAGUUCGGGAGAGGUGAGUGGAACUGCGAGUGUAGAGGUGAAAUUCGUAGAUAUUCGCAAGAACACCAGUGGCGAAGGCGGCUCACUGGCCCGAUACUGACGCUGAGGUGCGAAAGCGUGGGGGAGCAAACAGG
rnacentral:rRNA from 1 species